GUCAUUGGGUGAUGUGGGACUGUGAUGUCAUCGGGUGAUGUCAUUGGGCGAUGAUGUCAUUGGACAGUGAUGUCAUGAGGUUGUGAUGUCAUUGGAUGAUGUCAUUGGGCAGUGAUGUCAUUGGGCCGUGAUGUCAUGAGGUUGUGAUGUCAUUGGGUGAUGUGGGACUGUGAUGUCAUUGGGUGACGUCAUGAGGCGGCGAUGUGCUGGGUGACGUUGUGGGACGGUGACGUCAUUGGAGAGUGAUGUCAUUGGGCCGUGACGUCAUUGGGCGAUUGUGUCAUUGGAUGAUGUCAUUGGGCUGUGAUGUCAUUGGAUGAUAUCAUUGGGUGGUGAUGUCAUUGGGCGGUGAUGUCAUUGGAUGAUGUCAUUGGGUGGUGAUGUCAUUGGAUGAUGUCAUUGGAUGAUGUCAUUGGGCAAUGAUGCCAUUGGACGAUGUCAUUGAGUGAUGUCAUUGGGCAGUGAUGUCAUUGGAUGAUGUCAUUGGGCGGUGAUGUCAUUGGAGUGACGUCAUGGGGUGAUGACCCGGACACGGGGACAGUGACACCCGGACACGGGGACAGUGACACCCGGACACGGGGACAGUGACACGGGGAACAGUGACACUCGGACACGGGGACAGUGACACAGGGACAGUGACACCCGGACACGGGGACAGUGACACGGGGACAGUGACACCCGGACACGGGGACAGUGACACCGGGACAGUGACACGGCUGUCACCUGGGCCUGGCACGAUGACCCUGAUGUCACUCAGGUGUGUUCCAGGUGUCCCUCGGGUGUCACCUGGAUGUCCCUGGUGUCACUCAGGUGUGUCCCAAGUGUCCCAAGUGUCCCCCAGGUGUCCCCCGGGUGUCUCAGGUGUCCCCCAGGUGUCCCUCAGGUGUCCCAGGUGUCCCCCAGGUGUCCCCCAGGUGUCCCCUGGGUGUCUCAGGUGUCACCUGGAUGUCCCUGGUGUCCCCCAGGUGUCACCCAGGUGUCUCAGGUGUCACCUGGAUGUCCCUGGUGUCCCCCAGGUGUCCCUCAGGUGUCCCAGGUGUCCCCCAGGUGUCUCAGGUGUCACCCUGGUGUUUUAGGUGUCCCCCAGGUGUCCCUCAGGUGUCCCCCAGGUGUCACUCAGGUGUCACCUGGAUGUCCCUGGUGUCCCAGGUGUGUCUCAGGUGUCCCCCAGGUGUCUCAGGUGUCACCUGGAUGUCCCUGGUGUCCCCCAGGUGUUCCCCAGGUGUCUCAGGUGUGUCCCAAGUGUCCCCCAGGUGUCCCCCGGGUGUCUCAGGUGUCCCCCAGGUGUCACUCAGGUGUCCCUCAGGUGUCCCCCAGGUGUCCCAGGUGUCCCAGGUGUCCCUCAGGUGUCCCUCAGGUGUCCCCCAGGUGUCCCAGGUGUCCCAGGUGUCCCUCAGGUGUCCCCUGGGUGUCUCAGGUGUCACCUGGAUGUCCCUGGUGUCCCCCAGGUGUCCCAGGUGUCCCCCAGGUGUCACCCAGGUGUCUCAGGUGUCACCCUGGUGUUUUAGGUGUCCUCCAGGUGUCACUCAGGUGUCACCCAGGUGUCACCUGGAUGUCCCUGGUGUCCCUCAGUUGUCCCCCAGGUGUCACUCAGGUGUCACCUGGAUGUCCCUGGUGUCCCUCAGUUGUCCCCCAGGUGUCACUCAGGUGUCACCUGGAUGUCCCUGGUGUCCCAGGUGUGUCUCAGGUGUCACCCAGGUGUCCCUCAGGUGUCACCUGGAUGUCCCUGGUGUCCCCCAGGUGUCCCAGGUGUCCCCCAGGUGUCCCUCAGGUGUCUCAGGUGUCCCUCAGGUGUCCCUCAGGUGUCCCCCAGGUGUCCCCCAGGUGUCUCAGGUGUCCCUCAGGUGUCCCUGGUGUCCCUCAGGUGUCACCCCCCAAUAAAGUCCCCAGUGCUGGUGACACCGCGGUGGCUUCAUCUGGGGGAGGGGACCCCAAAAAUGGGGAGAGGGGACAUUGGGGACCCCAAAAAUGGGGAUGGGACCCCCAAAAUUGGGAUUGGGACAAUUUGGGGACCCCAAAAAUGGGGAUGGGACCCCCAAAAUUGGGAUUGGGACGAUUUGGGGACCCCAAAAAUUGGGAUGGGGACAUUGAGGACCCCCAAAAAUGGGGAGGGGACCCCAAAAAUUGAGAUUGGGACAUUUUGGGGACCCCAAAAAUGGGGAGAGGACCCCAAAAAAUGGGAUGGGGACAUUGAGGACCCCCAAAAAUGGGAAGGGGACCCCAAAAAUUGGGAUUGGGACAAUUUGGGGACCCCAAAAAUGGGGAGAGGGGACAUUGGGGACCCCAAAAAUGGGGAUGGGACCCCCAAAAUUGGGAUUGGGACAAUUUGGGGACCCCAAAAAUUGGGAUGGGGAAAUUCUGGGGACCCCAAAAAUGGGGAUGGGACCCCAAAAAUGGGAUGGGGACAAUUUGGGGACCCCAAAAAUUGGGAGACCCCAAAAAUGGGAUUGGGACCCCAAAAUUGGGACUGGGACAAUUUGGGGACCCCAAAAAUGGGGAGAGGGGACAUUGGGGACCCCAAAAAUGGGAUUGGGACAUUCUGGGGACCCCAAAAAUUGGGAUUGGGACAUUGAGGACUCCCAAAAAUUUGGGAUGGGACCCCAAAAAUGGGAUGGGGACCCCAAAAAUUGGGAUUGGGACAAUUUGGGGACCCCAAAAAUGGGGAGGGGACCCCAAAAAAUGGGGAGAGGACCCCAAAAAUUGGGAUUGGGACAUUCUGGGGACCCCAAAAAUUGGGAUUGGGACAUUGAGAACCCCCAAAAAUUUGGGAUGGGACCCCAAAAAUGGGAUGGGGACAAUUUGGGGACCCCAAAAAUGGGGAGAGGGGACAUUGGGGACCCCAAAAAUGGGGAUGGGACCCCAAAAAUUGGGAUUGGGACAAUUUGGGGUCCCCAAAAAUUGGGAUGGGGACAUUGAGGACCCCCAAAAAUGGGGAGAGGACCCCAAAAUUGGGACUGGGACAUUUUGGGGACCCCAAAAAUUUGGAUUGGGACAAUUUGGGGACCCCAAAAAUGGGGAUGGGACCCCCAAAAUGGGAUGGGGACAAUUUGGGGACCCCAAAAAUUUGGGAUGGGACCCCAAAAUUGGGGACAAAGCCUCUCAGACACCCCGAAAUCUCCGCUCCCAAAAUUUUAUUUCCUGAACCUUUCCAGGGCUCCCCUUUUUUGGGGGGAUCCCCCCAAAUUCCGGCCGGGAAUCCCCUCCUUCCCUUUCCCGGGAUUUUUGGGCUUUCCCCGCCUUUUUCCCACUUUUUUUUGGGAUUUUUCCGGGGUUUUUUUCCCAAUUUUUGGGGAUUUUUCUCCCAAUUUUUCUCCAAUUUUUUGGGAUUUUUCCGGGGUUUUUUUCCCAAUUUUUGGGAAUUUUUCCAGGGUUUUUUCCCCAAUUUUUUGGGAUUUUUCUCCCAUUUUUUCCCCAAUUUUUUGGGAUUUUUCUCCCAAUUUUCCCCCAAUUUUUUGGGACUUUUCUCCCAAUUUUUCUCCAAUUUUUUUUGAUUUUUCUCCCAUUUUUUCCCCAAUUUUGGGGGAUUUUUCUCCCAUUUUUUCCCCAAUUUUUGGGGAUUUUUCUCCCAUUUUUUCCCCAAUUUUUUGGGAUUUUUCUCCCAAUUUUUCCCCAAUUUUUUGGGAUUUUUCUCCCAACUUUUCCCCAAUUUUUUGGGAUUUUUCUCCCAUUUUUUCCAUGAUUUUUUGGGAUUUUUCUCCCAACUUUUCUCCAAUUUUUGGGAAUUUUUCUCCCAUUUUUUCCAUGAUUUUUGGGGAUUUUUCUCCCAUUUUUUCCCCAAUUUUUUGGGAUUUUUCUCCCAUUUUUUCCCCGUUUUUCUGGGAUUUUCCCAUCAUUUUUCCCCCAUUUUUUUGAAGGAUUUCUCCCGUUUUUCCCGCGGAUUUUGGGGAUUUUCCCGCCAUUUUUCCCGCGGAUUUUGGGGGUUUUCCCGCCAUUUUUCCCGCGGAUUUUGGGGGUUUUCCCGCCGUUUUUUUCCCGGUUUUUUGGAGGAUUUUUCCCGUUUUUUCCCCGUUUUUCCUCUCCUUUUUCCUCCUUUUCCUGGGGGGUUCCCCCUCCUCGUUUUUCUCCUUCUGCUCCAAACUCUGCCGGAUCCGGGCCUGGGGGAGGAGGGGGGAAAAAUUCGGGAAUUCCCAAAAUUUGGGAAUUCCCAAAAUCCUGGGAACCCCCCCCCAAAAAAAAAGUUUGGGAAUUUCCUCAAAAAUUCCAGGAAUUCCCUGGGAAACUCUUCCCAAAUUUUUGGGGUUUUUGUUUUGGGGAUGGAGGGUGAGGACACCCAGGAAUUCCUGAAGAAUUCCCAAAAAAAAUUCCCAAAAAUUCCCCCCAAAAUUUCCCAAAAAAUCCCCCCAAAAAUCAAAAAAAAUCCCCCAAAAAUCCCUAAAAAAUUCCCAAAAAAUCCCAAAAAACUCCCAAAAAAUCCCCCAAAAAAUCCCCAAAAACCCCAAAAAAUCCCCAAAAAUUCCCAAAAAAUUCCCCCCCCCAAAAAUAUAAAAAAACCCAAAAAAAAUCCCAGAAGAAAACCAAAAAAUUCCCAAAAAAUCCCCCAAAAAUCCCAAAAAAAUUCCCAAAAAAUCCCCCCAAAAUUCCCAAAAAAUCCCCAAAAAAUUCCCAAAAAAUAAAAAAAAAUUUCCCCAAAAAUCCCCUCA
ensembl:lncRNA